GGUACUCGUGGCCGGGCCGCUCCUGUGACAGCAGCUGCUGCUCGAGACCAGCAAAGAUGAUCUCCCUCACCGACUCCCAGAAAAUUGGAAUGGGGCUAACAGGAUUUGGGGUAUUUUUUCUGUUCUUUGGGAUGAUCCUGUUUUUCGAUAAAGCCCUUCUUGCCAUAGGAAACAUCCUGUUUGUUAUCGGCCUGGCGUUCGUAAUCGGGCUGGAGAGGACGUUCAAGUUCUUCUUUCAGAAGCACAAAAUGAAAGCCACCAGCUUCUUCUUAGGAGGCGUCUUGGUGGUGCUGAUCGGGUGGCCCAUCGUCGGAGUCGUUCUAGAGUUUUAUGGCUUCUUUCUUCUAUUCAGGGGAUUCUUUCCAGUGGUCGUAGGCUUCAUCAGGAGGAUUCCUGUGCUGGGAUAUAUGCUGAAUCUUCCCUUCAUUAGUGGGCCUUCCUAAGGCUGAGCGGACAGACAGCCAUCUUGGUCAGUCACUGCCAAUUCUGUCUUGCAUUACGUGGACAAAAUGAGUGAAAGCAACAACAUGGUUUAACAGACUCUUUUUGACCACUUAUUUAUGAUGGAUUUUCUAAAGCUUUACCUUGAAACAGCCAUGUGAAGUAUAGAGCUCGUAUUACCGGAGCUUUAUAUUCAGGACGUCUGAGAGAUAUUUACGUCAACGAGAAGCAAACUGUGCUGCGUGGAAAAGAAGCCACACCUUCGCCUGCCAGAUCUAUAGACUGCGUCACAACACCCAGCAUCACUGCAUCCCAGAAGAACUUUGCCCUACUUUAUAAACGCAAACUUCACGAAGUUAACGGGUGUCCUCCCAUGAGGAAAGGUUAGUUGGAUGUGUGGAAGAGACUUCUGGAAGUCUGUAUUCUGUUACAACAAUGGUCUUGUUACACGGUGGUGUCUGUAGUUGUAUUAUAAAGAUGGAGGAGAACUGGAUGACUUUAAUUUCUUGAUUAUCUAUCACAACAAGUGUGAUAUUUACACUUUCUUAUAAAAUUAAACUGUUACUUUGUAUCCGACUGGCACAGAUGUUGUUAUUAUUAUUAUUAAUUAUGUUCUUUCUCUGUCUUAAAUGCAUUUCCAGCUGUUGUCAC